ensembl:lncRNA
CUUUGGGUGUCAGAUAUUUUGUUUCAGCAAUGAAAGAAAAGUACCUAAGACAUCUCUCUCCACAAGAUGUCCAGUUGUUUGUUUCCUGCCAGUUGAAAUGAUAUUCCAGUGUCAGAGUCUGUGCCUGCUUCGCCUAAAUGUGAUCUGCGACCGGAAGCGGGUGCCUCUCUCUGGAGAGAGUCCGGUCUUUGACCUGGGUCUAGCUCCAGGUCAGCUCUGAACUCCUCCCUCCCAUCUACCACACCUGCCAGCUCCUCUCUUCCCGCCUCCUCUGCCUGGCUGGCUCCAGGCAGUUCCAGGGCCAGUGGGAAGUUGGCUUAGUGUGUGGCAGGUCCCAGAAAAGGGUGCCUUUUCCUGUGUUCCUGUGUAGUCAUCCUCCCGGGACAGCUUUGACUCAUCUCUUCCACAGUCCGGAGUUUUGCAGGUUUUCAGGGCAGGCCAUGCACAUUCAGCAUUUUGGGACAGGAAGUGGUCUUAGAGAUCUGUGGGCAGAGUCUUCGUUUUGGAGUUUGGGGCAGGAAGUUUGAAUGUGCAGGCACCCUCACCCACGUCCAGUGCCUUUUAGUUAACUGCAUUCUCUUCCCACACUCAGUGGCUUGACGAGGUAAAGCACUUAGCCCUGGCAGAUGAAGAAACUGAGGCUCAGAGAGGUUAAGGAGCUCCACUUAGGUCACAUAGCAGGAAACGACUGGCUUUCAUCUUCUGCACGUGCCUCUCCGGUGAAAUUUGAAAUAGCUUCUUACCCUUGCCUUGCAUUGAUCUCCAGAUGUCCUGGCCAGUGAAUUUUCGGCACACUGUAAUCUGCUAUUACAAGUUCAUUUUUCCAAGCAGAGCAGGAGCCUAGACUCAAAAAUGUCAGAAACAGUAAAAAAUGAUGUCGGAACCCGGACUGUGGAGCUCAGGGAGGGAGGCCCAGAGGGCAGAGUCGGGGCCCGGUGGGGCUGCACAGGCCAGCAGCGCUCUGUCCUGGCCUGGCCUGGCCCGCAAGCUCAGGCUCCCCCCACCCCGCCCCGAACUCACCCCCCUCCAUCAGUCACAUGGAGAUGUGGUUCUAUGACACCUGCUGGGCUCUGGCUGAGCAGCCCUGGGCUGGGCCUGCUGGAAGGCCUGUGCUCGGGGCGUGACAGCACACCCUGGCGGAUCCCAUCCAUCCCUUCCUUGUGCCUCAGAAGAUGAAGCAGAAAGACAGAGUCCUCCGUGUGCUCCGGGAAUGAAACAAGCUCGCCUCCAAGGAAGGCAGCAGCGGGCGUGGGGCCAGCUCCCCUUGACUGGCACAGCUCUGUCUCUUAGCAAAGACAGCCGACAAAAGUGGUGCUACCUUGGCCCUCCUGCCUGGGAACCCCAGGCCAGAACUUCCGCUACUUUCUCUACCCAGACCUGUGGCUGCAGACCCAGAAAUUAAUUUCCAGAAGCAGCAGAAUGGCUCUUUCUCCUGCAGGCCCCAGAAGGACUUAUUAAGUCUUCCAUUAACUGAAUCUCAUUCAGCUGGAAAAAUAAUCAUCAGAAAGCAAUUCUGCCUGGGUACAGGCCUGGGAGCGCCUGCAGUUGCCCAUAAGGAAUUCGGCAGAAGUGCAGCCUGGGAGAUGCAGAGCCCAGCCCCGCCUCCUCCCCUGGGGGCAGGCGGCUGGUGAUCGCCCGCCCCACAACUCGGCAUUAAGUGAGCAUUGCUGUGUUGGCCAUCUGUCUGUCCAGUAUUAGACAGGAGGGGCAGGGCCCAGGGCCCGGUCCUGGGAGUACAGACAGCAUUAAUAGGCCCAGUGUGUGCCCUUCAGGCCAGCUGGGGCUCCAUUGGCCCAACUCCAGCGAGUUCUUGGCUCAGUCCCUGCCUGCCACUCACACCCACAAACAUGUAAAUGUUCAGAAACUUUCACUUCUCCAUCUUGUCUGUUUUCCCCAAUUUCUGCCCUCAGUUCGUUAGUUUCACAUGUUUACUAACUCAAGCUAAUCUCUUCCCUUCCAUCAAAUCCACUUUCUCCUGGUCCGUUCCAUCCACUGGGUCCGCCUCUCCUAGGACUCUUGGAAGAAGGAAGGGGCUGGAAGCCAGCCGGGGCAGCACUCCUGGGCCAGGUGGGCUAAGACACAAAGUUUACAGCCCAGCAGGGCACGAGACAGAAGUGGCUUCAUCUGCAGGGGCAGUUGGUCUGAUAAUAAAAUCCUUGGGAAAUAUGCAGCAGUUUACAGCUCAGGAUUUGAUUUUAUCCCACUUAGAAGCUAAUCGUCUGAGGCUGUGGAGGGCAGGAGACUCCUGGAUCCUAGCCCAGGGACUUUAUUACUCUUAGUGUAAGAAAAAGCCUGAGCAGCUCCCACUGCCCCUGGGUCCUCUGAGGCCAGGCAGAGCUCACAGCGAUGCCGGCGUGAGCCACAGGUUGCAGCCUAGAGGAGUAACUGGAGCCUGGGGGAUCUGCCACUCUGCAGCACACAGCAAGCAGCCAGGGUUUCUGUUCCAGCAGGAGACAUUGCCUCCCGGCUCAGGACUGACUGCUGCAACAUCCGGGUGCCCAGGCAGAGUGCUGUCCCGACAACAGGAGGCGCUGAACAACUCUGGACCCAAGUCCCGGGGCUCAUGCUUACUCAGUGUGAGGCUGGGCAGUGUGCCACCACCAGGCCUCUCUUAGCCUCGGUUUCCCCCUCUACAAGAUACCGAUUCCCCCCCCACACACACACACAUACCUGGAUGAUAAGGAAAGUGUGUGAGCCUCUUUUAAGAGCACUGAGGGUGGCAAAGGGAAUUCCUGGAGCCAAUCAAGAAACUGUUAGUUAUUUUUUUUCCCUACUAGGGAUUGAACCCAAGGCCCUUGCACUGAGCUUCAUUCUCAGAUCUUGUUUUAUUUUUAAUUUGGAGACAGGAUCUCGCUAAGUUACUAAAUUGCCCAGGCUAGGCUUGAUUUCGUCCUCUUGCCUCAGCCUCCGAGAGUGCUGGGAUUACAGGUGUGCACCACCACCACACCUGGCUUCAAGAAACUUAGAUGCACGGCAAAUCCUUCAUCUCGGUGUACCUGCAUGAUGUUGGCUGCUCGAAGCAUGGUGAGCAAAAGGGUAACGCACUUCAUGGUUCUGGGGAGUUUCUCCCGGGAGGACCAGCUGACUAAUCAUCGAACAUUAAUGGCCAGAGCAGCCUGAGCAGGACACAUUGUAUCUAGCUCCUGGGCUUGGUGCACUUGGAGGAUGGCGGAGGGGUCAGUUUGGCUUGAGAGAGUGCACAGAGAAAAGGCCUAGCAUGUGGGGCCAGGCCGUUGUCAGGGACCAGUUCAUAGAGGACCUUGCAGCUAGCCUGUGAGCUUUGUGCGGGGACCCAUGGGAGCCUUUGGGCAGGUGGGAACAUGGGCAGAGAGCACACAUGAGUCUGGGACCUGAUUGUGUCCUACGGUUACCAAUAAUCUGCUGGCGUUUCAUGGGUUCUGACACACAACACAAGCAUCCUGGGUCAGAAACUAGGGACCGUCAUCAAGCGGAAGAGAUCUCACUCCUUCUGUGCCUAGAACCUGAGCUCAGAGCACACUCUGAAAGGUGUGGGGCGACUGAAGCUCAGUCAGCACCUUCAGAGGCUGAGCUGAGUGGGCGGAAGGGAGUGAUGGCCUUGCAGACAGACUCCGGGUCAUAGCUGGUCAGAGGCCCUGACUCUUUCCCGGCCUGCAUGUCACUUCUAUCAGUCACAUAGGGAGAACACUAGUGUUCAGGUGUAUUGUGCACACCAUCAUAGAUGUAAGUGGAGCCUGAAGACCUUGUGCUUUUUACCUGGUUAAUAAGAGAAAGUUAAUUCAUCCUAGUAAUUCGUCCUAUCUAAGUGCUUGAUUAUUCCUUUACUGAGAAUAAUAAUUAGCAGGAGGUCAAGUACACAACACACAUGUGCGAUCGUGCGCGCGCGCGCGCGUGCGCACACACACACACACACUUGCAGAAUUUGCCUGCCAGAGUCUCCCUUGAUAAAGGAGGGUGUUAGUCAUUCACUGGGAGAAGGACAAGCAAAAAGGACUGAAAGAGCAGGGCAGAGGGAAACCGAGGACUGGUCAGUGUUGAUGUGGGUGCCUGAUGCUGGCUGUGCUCACACCUGGGAGAGCUGCAUACCCGGGGAGAGCCUACGUGUACUGUGCUUCCCCUCACACGCGCACCUGGCCCCUGCAGCUAUGUCAGGCUGCUCAGAGAAAAUGGUUCGCGUCGCCCAUCAUGUGGAUGCAGAAACCUCCCAAGGCCUCCAGCUGGUGAAGUCUUAGAGCCCGACUGGGGGCCAUGGUUCCUGCCCAGUGUGGUGCGUGUCCCUCCACAUCAGAGACAUCCCGGAACUCCCACCCACCAGACGCAGUGUUACCUGCGGCCAGCAGGGCAGCAGCCCACCUCUGCCCACCACAUUCCUGGGGCAGGGAAGACACCUGUGUUUUAAAGCAAAUGGGGCAGAACAAGCUGUUUGUAAAGUGUGGUGCUGGCCACUCAGGAGGACCCGAGGUGGGCAGCCAGGACAAGUUGUCUAGUUCUCCCGCCUCCAGGUCAGAGGCAGCAGCCUGGGGGAGGGAUGGGUGGGGAUUCCCAGUGCUGAGUAAGUGCCCACGUGUCAGCUAACUGAGCCCGGGCUGGCACUGGAUGCUCCCUCCCACUGGGUCACCACGCGUCACAUUGCCAGGCCUACAGCAAGCCGCCAGCUCAGGGCACCCUCUCUCCAGCUGGACAGGGGGUGAGUAGCCCUAUGCUCACAUUGGGAGGAGUAGAGAGAAAGACUCAAGGUGCAGGGAGUACCUCACGCAGGCCAUGCUCUGCAGGCGCCAUGGCUGCCAGUCAGCUCAGCUGGGAAGUAGACGUGCAGCAUAAGAAGCCUGGGGUCUGGAGCCACACUGUGUGGGCCACUUCUAGCUUCACGCUUGCAGAAGAUGCCACCCUGGGCUGAGUGCUUUGCCUUUCUGGACUUCUGUAAAAUGAGUGCAUUGCUGUUUUCAGUGAAUGAGCAGGAUUAAACCUGCUAGACCUGCAGGAGCACUGUGUUCCGCACUGUGUUUGUGUCAGCACACAGGUCAGCUGCUCCUACCAGAGAAGGGUCAGACAGGUGAAGGCCCUGCGUUCUCUCCUGCUCUCGCAGGACCACUGUGGUGUAUGCUGUGGUUGUCUCUGUUUUGCAUGCAAGGGUGGGAUGUGGCUGGAUGACCCAGGCAGCUUGUCUGGAUCGAAUGCUGUUGACCUUUGGGGCUGUCAAGCCCGACUGCUUUGCCCCCGCCACGGAAAUGGAAUCUAGACCUGAGUUCUACCUGAGAACGACCUUAACCCUGCCUGAGCCCCUCUGUCUAGUAAGUGGUAGACCAUGAGACAUCUUCAUGAUCCUUCACCUUAAAGGAGGGAGGUGGCCAUGAAGGAUUGUCAGGUUUCAGGAGGAAGAGCGCCCUUGGGGUGUUCCUUGUCCCCGCCAUCAUCCUUACAUGAUCUAAAAGGCAAAACCCUCCAGCAUACAGUGCUGGGUGCAGGUACAGCCAGUGCCCCCCAAGCUACCCCCAGGCUCCAGUUCUUCUAGUGGCUGCUCAACUGCCCCUUGCUAAGGGAGCCAGGACUCCCUCCCUUCCUGAGCGCCAGGCUCAGGAGGACCUGAAGCAGAUUGGGGCUCCGUGUGCAACAGAGCUGGACAAGUGUUCUUGGUGCCCCUUCUUCAGGGGUAGGGCGGGGCAGCCUUGUCCUCAUGAGGUCCCACUGGAUAUCAUAACACACUGGUGUCUUAUCGCGGUUCUUGCCAGCCACCUGCUGGAGCAUGCUGGGAGCCCCCAUUUGAGCAGCUGCAUUUACACUGCAGUCUGCACCUGCAUUGUGGGCACCAUGAAGGUUGUCCCCAGCCCCUUUAUGGGGCUCUCAGAUGCCUCUGUAAAUCAGCAGAGUUGAGAUAUUUCCAUGGGAGUCAGGGGCCUAGGAAGAAAGGAGUUGCUCAGCCAUGUUAGCUUAUUGCAUCUCCGCUCAGGGCUGCGGGACUAAGAGCCUUCAAAGCAGCCCACAAGCCAAGACACAGGAGGGGUGGGGCCUUAAUAGCACCCAGUGAGUUCCCUUUGUCGUGAUUUCUGCACCCCCUAAAGCAGGGACGUGCUUCCUUUUGGGGGCCAGGUGUGAGCGUGGACAUGCCACAGUACGACUCCGUUAGUUCCUGACACGUUUCGCACUCUGAUGUUGUCUGGAUGCUUUCAGACUCCAAAUUUAGCACUCCUCAGUCCACACGCGUAAGAAGAUCUGUGGAUUUAAAUUCCUCUUCUGAAGCUGAGAAUAUGAAAACUUCCCCGGCUCCUUCUCACAUGACCCUAAUCCUGGUUAAUUCUGCUCCUCUGGGGCGAUUGUCUAGCCGCCCCUUCUGAACUGCCAUUGGGAUUCAGGGGAGCCUUUUGUUUUGUCUCCUGUGUCCCCAGUGAGGGAGCAAGAAGAGGCACCAAGGUCGGAGGAGGAGGGUGUGUGAGUACCACAAAAGGUCCUCCCAGGGUGCUGGGUCCUCUUGCAUGUGGGGGACCUGGGCGUGUGAUGGUGCAGGAAGGAGCUGGGAAACCGAGGGAGCCUGAACACCAGGCUCAGUCACCUAGAUGGAAACAGAGCUGCUCUGCAGGCUUGGCUUCCAUGGGGUGCUGUGUGUGCCCCUCUUUGGUCCAGUCUCUGCAUGCCACUGCAGGCACUGCCAUCUGUGUUCCCAAAACAGCUGUGGCUCCCUAUUGCCUUUAUCCCUAGCUCCCACUGAAGGCUGCUCCUUUCCCUGACAUUACCUACCAUCCUGUCACCAGCAGUGCGUGCCUUUCUGGGAGGUGAUUCUCUGACUGGCUCACCCCACUUCUCUCCACCUUCCCCAUCCAUCCAGACCACAGCUCCCCAACUCCAAAAGCCCAUCUCGUGGACCACCCGCUCACAGAGCCCUCCUUUCACUUGCACUCACCUGCUCCUUCUGAGUCACUGAGGCCAGGUCGUCAGCGUGACCUCCUUGGAGGCACUGGUCCCUCGGGAACAGAUGCAUGCAUAUGAACUGCCACAUGGUAGGUCCUGCUUCUGGGCCGGUCCAGGCUUUGCUGUCUAGCAGUGAAGGCAGGCGUGCACCAGAUUUGUUCAGUGGAGCACUGCAGGUGUCUUUGUGUACCCAGGUGAGAGGAAAGACUGUGUCACACUGGGCAGCAGUGUGGCUCAGUUGACUUUGAGUAAGAUCCCCAAGUCCCAGGACUGCUGCCGCCUCAUCAUUAAAUGGGAUGGUUGCACCACGCCUGCCAUUGGACCUGAUCUUCUUGUUUCAUGCCCCAUCUGGUCCUUGAGAGCUGUGUCAGAUGCUAACAGUGUCUGGGAUAAGAAGGCAGGUGGUUGGGGCUACCAGCUAGAUCCUCAGUAGGGAGGGAGGAGUGGAUAUGACCACUGGCUGCCAGAUUUGGUUAGGGAUAUCCCGUGAGCCUUUGCCUGCAGGAAAACCCUGACCAUCCUCUGGUAGCCCAAUCCGAGUAAGAGUGGACUAGAGAGGGCGGCUGGGCAGAUCAAAGUAGAGAGGGCUCAGAAGUAGGGGUGAUCAAGCCACAGGAGUAAGGAGUAGUCAGUCAGCCCCCGGAGCAUCCAGGGCAAAGUCCCUGUGGCUUCUGCUGGCAUUGGCUGCAGUUUCUGUGGAAAACCAUGCUGGGGAGGUGGCCGGUGGCCUUCACCAGGGAGCCAAAGGGAGGAGCACUCCCUGGAGGGACGCUGAGUGCCACAGGGGAGCCUCUGGGUCAGCCUGCACCAGUGAGCCUAGGCAGCUGUACCUGCUGAUAGAUGAGUCUGCAGCAGCCAGAGUGUGGUUUGGGAGCAUUCCAGAAAGAGUGGCCAUCCAAGGUGGGAGGGAAGGUGGGGCUCAGAGGACAGGCUGGCAGAGGGGCAGCAGCCUGGUUCCCAGAGGGGUGGGAGGUAGGACUGCCUGAGUGGUACCUCCAAGGCACUGAACAAACCACCCAGCAACAACGCCAUUGGAGUUAUGCAACAAAUAGCCCUGUGGGGCGCCUGGACUGGCCAGCCUGCUGGCAGGAUGCAGGCAAUCGAUGGCCCCAAGGUGAGCACCAGAGGAGAAUUUAGUGGAAGGGUUAUUUGCAGAGUCAUGGCGUGCUGCAGUCCCUGGGGAUGGAAACAUUGGGAAUGAUUCCAACCCUGGGCUGCAGGGACAAGAGGAAAAUACUUGCUGGGACCCUAAGACAAAGCCAGUGUAGGGACAAGGACCAUUUGUCAAAAGCAACACACCUCUAGCCCCUCCUGGCUUCCCUCACCUAGUGACUUUAUUCCCCAGCCCAAAGCCAAUAGGAGUCCAGAACUCAGUUCUUUGGGUAGACUUUGUCACCUCAGGCAGGCGGAAGUCUGUGCCUCUUCCUGCUGCUCAUCCAAAUCAGGAAUGUCGUUUCCAGGCUCCCAGCCCCUGCUUCAUAGGAGGUAGAAUGGAGAAGGUAGGAGAAAAUCCCAACUCCAGUAGAUAGUGACCAGCACUGGGUACCGUGUGGCAACAUGGAACAAGAUGCCUUAAAGGCCUCAGAUAGACAGAGUUGGUCACCAGCAGUUAUGCCUUUGAAUAGAUGUUUGGGUCAUGAGUACUGCAGGUACCUCCCUAGCCUGACUCCAGUCUUUAAUCUUAACAACCAGUUUGCAGAGUUCUCCUUGAAGGUGUCUGCAUACCUCUUAUCACAAAGAUCCCCAUCGUGUGAUAGCCAGGGAGCUGCCAGGAUUAAGAG